GACGAACGCUGGCGGCGCGCUUAACACAUGCAAGUCGAACGGAAAGGCCUGCUUUCCCUUGUGGAUUGCGGGUACUCGAGUGGCGAACGGGUGAGUAACACGUGAGUGAUCUGCCCCCAACUUGGGUAUAAGCCUGGGAAACUGGGUCUAAUUCCCGAUAGGACUGCAGGGUGGUGCCUGUGGUGGAAAACGAUUUUCUAGUGGUUGGGGAUGAGCUCGCGGCCUAUCAGCUUGUUGGUGGGGUAAUGGCCUACCAAGGCGGCGACGGGUAGCCGGCCUGGGAGGGUGGACGGCCACAUUGGGACUGAGAUACGGCCCAGACUCCUACGGGAGGCAGCAGUGGGGAAUAUUACACAAUGGGCGGAAGCCUGAUGCAGCGACGCCGCGUGGGGGAUGACGGCCUUCGGGUUGUAAACUCCUUUCGACCGCGAGGAAGCCACCUGGUUGGAAGGGUGGUGACGGUAGUGGUAGAAGAAGCACCGGCUAACUACGUG
rnacentral:rRNA from 1 species